AAAUAGCAACAGGCGCUACUCCCCACCGAGCCGCACACUGCGUGCCCCCUUAUCCACAACAUCCCCAUUCCUUCGCUGGCCAGUCCACUGCCGCUCGGCCGGCUCGUCGGCUAGGCCGCCGGUGAGCAGAGCACACACACGCCACCAUCGGAGCUUCAUGGCCGCCGGCACCUUCAACCGUUGCCACACACCGCCUGGGCUUGCCCACCUCCCGAUCCAGCCGGCAAACGGACGGAUCCGUCUUCCCCGUGUCCGUCCUAGGCCUCUCUGCCUUGCCGGAGUCGUCAAGGCGCCGGCCCUCGUCCACCAAGUCAACUGCAUCGCACCCCUGCUUCGUCUCGGGAGGAGCAGCGAGCCAGCGCCCACCUCUGCAUCGAGCACUGCUCAAUCCGGCCGCGACGCCCAAGGCCCAGUCCGCCGCCGCCUUGCUCCGCCUCCGGCCUCGCUGGCCCUCGUCCACCAAGUCAACUGCAUCGCAACCCUGCAUCAUCUCGGGAGGAGCAGCGAGCCAACGCCCACCUCUGCAUCGAGCACUGCUCAAUCCGGACUGGGACUGCGAGUGCAAUUUCCGAUAAACUGAAGGGCUUUUUUGCAAAAUAACACGACGACGGACGACAGAAACGCUAGCCGCUUUAUUAUUAGGUAGAGAUAACCAAGUAUAUGUGAUCCUGUAUGUUAGCGACAACUAAACAUUUGAUCUUUAUUGAACCGAUAGGAUUGUAUAUUUGAUCUCUGUUUAACUCGACUGGUGCCGCUUUAAUGCUGGAGUGCCAGUGAGAGGUCGCGUCA